AAUAAUUCUCACUUAUUAAUUUGUCACCUGCCCAAUGUUUGUAACUGCCUUUUGGUGACUCUAGGUGGCUUUUCAUUCAUGACAGCCAUGAAGGGACCCCCACACUGCUUCCUAAAGUCACCAUUCUCUUCAAGGACAAGCCUCCUUGUCCCUGAGCUCCGAAACUCCGAAGGGCUGGGAGCUUCGGGGAUGGUCAGAGAUCUCAAUCUUGAUGAGAAAUUCCUUGUCACCGACAACUUGCCAUAAAGCAGGGCCGUUUUCCCAGAGGGGCUGGUAAAAAUACACACACAUUAGUAAAGUAAAGCCAGGGGAAGAUACUGCCAGGUCGGGCCGUCCAGUCCAGUCGAAAUGUUUGUGCACGCCAGACACCGUGUCUGGCUACCUCGAGGGAGGGUCCAUGUUUGGUCUGGGAAAACAGUUCCAUGUUUACCACCAGGGAAGGCCCAUGGGUGAGUAACAAUGACCAGGCCCCAACUGCCAGGAAGAGCCUCCUUUCUAAAUGACUGUCUCAUUAGGUUGAAUGGGAGCGUUUUUUUUUCAGCCUGUGACCCUGAGAUAGAGCAGCCCAAACAGCUGUUCCUGUCAGAGGGUGGCACCUAAGUCUGUGAACCCAGAGUCCUUCUGUGGAUUUGCCACUCAGUGGAAGGAAGGCGGCCACCCACUUUGGUGGUGCCGUGGCCAUUGUCAAGAGUGUCCUUCCGUUUCUUUCCUCGGGGUGUCUUUAGGGGGCCUUCUGCCACUUGUGGGGGAUUGCUUAGCACAUUCCAGUGGGCUUCCCGAUAUGUUCUCACUUUUCCAAUUGAAGAUAUUUUUUGACAGAAACAUCCAAGAGGGAAGUGUCGCAUGCUGGCGGAGAAGUACCAAUUACAGAAAAACCAGUGCUGGUCAGCAUGUGGGUAAUUAUUUAUCUCAGCUUUCUGUAAUAGGAGGGGCAUUUUAUUCAAGCCAGGCAGAAAUCUGGCCGUUUCCCAGUUGUGAAAUUCUAUUGACAAAGGUGUUAAACGAAGGGCAGGGUAACGUGGUAUGCGAGGCCUUCAUCUCGGUGACCUGGGCCUGU
rnacentral:lncRNA from 1 species